rnacentral:rRNA from 1 species
UACGUAGGGGUCGAGCGUUGUCCGGAGUUACUGGGCGUAAAGCGUGUGCAGGCGGCGAUCGCGCCCGGCGUGAAAGCCCCCGGCUCAACCGGGGAGGGUCGUCGGGGACGGGUGCGCUUGAGGGUAUCAGGGGCAGGUAGAAUUCCCGGUGUAGUGGUGAAAUGCGUAGAGAUACCGGAGGAACACCAGAGGCGAAGGCGGCAACCUGGCUCGUAACUGACGCUCAUACACGACAGCAUGGGGAGCGAACGG